AUCCUUGUGCUAGGGUAUAUCCUCAUCUGUGAAGUAUCUACUGAGAUAGGAUUAUUGCUGGUUGAAAACUAAACCCAAUACCCCACGAUAAUUAAUUCCUAGUGAAUUAAUGUCGUAAUUUUUGCAAUCCUUUAGGG
rnacentral:snRNA from 1 species